UACAGAGGGUGCGAGCGUUAAUCGGAAUUACUGGGCGUAAAGCGUGCGUAGACGGUUAUCUAAGUCAGAUGUGAAAGCCCCGGGCUCAACCUGGGAAUUGCAUUUGAGACUGAAUAGCUAGGGUGCGGUAGAGGGAAGCGGAAUUUCCGGUGUAGCGGUGAAAUGCGUAGAUAUCGGGAGGAACACCAGUGGCGAAGGCGACUUCCUGGCCUGUUCUUGACGCUGAGGCGCGAAAGCUAGGGGAGCAAACGGG
rnacentral:rRNA from 1 species